rnacentral:ncRNA from 1 species
ACACUCGCACGCACUUUUGGUGCUCGUGUGCGCGCUCGUGCGCAUGCAGUUAAACGGGAAACAGGAGGCCCACCUGCUCUGGAUCGGGUCAACCUGUGCUGCCCCCGCAACGGUAAGCGAAAAGUGGCGCCUGGUUGGUUUUCGGGCGCCGCGGAGCCGGCUUCGAUGUCCACGCGCAAGGCCGCGUCGGCAUAUCACCACUGGGCGAGAAACCACUCGCCCGGGAAGGGGAAGCGGCGCUUUCGCCAGCCCGGAUACCGGCCAGAACAUGCAGGACGAA